CCUACGGGAGGCAGCAGUGGGGAAUAUUGGGCAAUGGGCGCAAGCCUGACCCAGCAACGCCGCGUGAAGGAAGAAGGCUUUCGGGUUGUAAACUUCUUUUCUGAGGGACGAAGAAAGUGACGGUACCUCAGGAAUAAGCCACGGCUAACUACGUGCCAGCAGCCGCGGUAAUACGUAGGUGGCAAGCGUUAUCAGGAUUUAUUGGGUGUAAAGGGCGUGUAGGCGGGAAAGCAAGUCAGAUGUUAAAACUCAGGGCUCAACCCUUGGGCUGCAUUUGAAACUGUUUUUCUUGAGUGCUGGAGAGGGAAUCGGAAUUCCGUGUGUAGCAGUGAAAUGCGUAGAUAUACGGAGGAACACCAGUGGCGAAGGCGGAGUGCUGGACAGUAACUGACGCUGAGGCGCGAAAGCGUGGGGAGCAAACAGGAUUAGAUACCCUGGUAGUC
rnacentral:rRNA from 1 species